AGAGUUUGAUCAUGGCUCAGAUUGAACGCUGGCGGCAGGCCUAACACAUGCAAGUCGAACGGUAACAGGAAGCAGCUUGCUGCUUCGCUGACGAGUGGCGGACGGGUGAGUAAUGUCUGGGAAACUGCCUGAUGGAGGGGGAUAACUACUGGAAACGGUGGCUAAUACCGCAUAACGUCGCAAGACCAAAGAGGGGGACCUUCGGGCCUCUUGCCAUCAGAUGUGCCCAGAUGGGAUUAGCUUGUUGGUGAGGUAACGGCUCACCAAGGCGACGAUCCCUAGCUGGUCUGAGAGGAUGACCAGCCACACUGGAACUGAGACACGGUCCAGACUCCUACGGGAGGCAGCAGUGGGGAAUAUUGCACAAUGGGCGCAAGCCUGAUGCAGCCAUGCCGCGUGUAUGAAGAAGGCCUUCGGGUUGUAAAGUACUUUCAGCGGGGAGGAAGGUGUUGCGGUUAAUAACCGCAGCAAUUGACGUUACCCGCAGAAGAAGCACCGGCUAACUCCGUGCCAGCAGCCGCGGUAAUACGGAGGGUGCAAGCGUUAAUCGGAAUUACUGGGCGUAAAGCGCACGCAGGCGGUCUGUCAAGUCGGAUGUGAAAUCCCCGGGCUCAACCUGGGAACUGCAUUCGAAACUGGCAGGCUUGAGUCUUGUAGAGGGGGGUAGAAUUCCAGGUGUAGCGGUGAAAUGCGUAGAGAUCUGGAGGAAUACCGGUGGCGAAGGCGGCCCCCUGGACAAAGACUGACGCUCAGGUGCGAAAGCGUGGGGAGCAAACAGGAUUAGAUACCCUGGUAGUCCACGCCGUAAACGAUGUCUACUUGGAGGUUGUGCCCUUGAGGUGUGGCUUCCGGAGCUAACGCGUUAAGUAGACCGCCUGGGGAGUACGGCCGCAAGGUUAAAACUCAAAUGAAUUGACGGGGGCCCGCACAAGCGGUGGAGCAUGUGGUUUAAUUCGAUGCAACGCGAAGAACCUUACCUGGUCUUGACAUCCACAGAAGAAUCCAGAGAUGGAUUUGUGCCUUCGGGAACUGUGAGACAGGUGCUGCAUGGCUGUCGUCAGCUCGUGUUGUGAAAUGUUGGGUUAAGUCCCGCAACGAGCGCAACCCUUAUCCUUUGUUGCCAGCGGUCCGGCCGGGAACUCAAAGGAGACUGCCAGUGAUAAACUGGAGGAAGGUGGGGAUGACGUCAAGUCAUCAUGGCCCUUACGACCAGGGCUACACACGUGCUACAAUGGCGCAUACAAAGAGAAGCGACCUCGCGAGAGCAAGCGGACCUCAUAAAGUGCGUCGUAGUCCGGAUUGGAGUCUGCAACUCGACUCCAUGAAGUCGGAAUCGCUAGUAAUCGUGGAUCAGAAUGCCACGGUGAAUACGUUCCCGGGCCUUGUACACACCGCCCGUCACACCAUGGGAGUGGGUUGCAAAAGAAGUAGGUAGCUUAACCUUCGGGAGGGCGCUUACCACUUUGUGAUUCAUGACUGGGGUGAAGUCGUAACAAGGUAACCGUAGGGGAACCUGCGGUUGGAUCACCU
rnacentral:rRNA from 1 species